rnacentral:rRNA from 1 species
ACGGCUCAGUAACACGUAGCUAACCUGCCCUUGGGACGGGAACACCCCCGGGAAACUGGGGCUAAUCCCCGAUAGGUGAAGAACUCUGGAAUGAGUCUUCGCCCAAAAGGCGUCGGAUCAUGCUUUCGGCGUCGCCCAAGGAUGGGGCCGCGACCGAUCAGGUUGUUGGUGAGGUAACGGCCCACCAAGCCUAUAACCGGUGCGGGCCGUGAGAGCGGGAGCCCGGAGAUGGGCACUGAGACAAGGGCCCAGGUCCUACGGGGCGCAGCAGUCGCGAAACCUUUGCAAUACACGAAAGUGUGACAGGGUCAUCCCGAGUGCCGACCGCUGAGGUUGGCUUUUACCCAGUCUAGAAAGCUGGGGGAAUAAGGAGAGGGCAAGUCUGGUGUCAGCCGCCGCGGUAAUACCAGCUCUCCGAGUGGUGUGGACGUUUAUUGGGCCUAAAGCAUCCGUAGCUGGCUGAUCAAGUCCCCUGUUAAACCCACCGAUUUAAUCGUUGGCUUGCGGGGGAUACUGCUCGGCUAGGGGACGAGAGAGGCAGACGGUAUUCCCGGGGUAGGGGUGAAAUCCUAUAAUCCCGAGAAGACCACCAGUGGCGAAGGCUGUCUGCUAGAACGCGCCCGACGGUGAGGGAUGAAAGCUGGGGGAGCGAACCGGAUUAGAUACCCGGGUAGUCCCAGCUGUAAACGAUGCAGGCUAGGUGUUUGGACGGCCACGUGCCGUUCUAGUGCCGCAGGGAAGCUGUUAAGUCUGCCGCCUGGGGAGUACGAUCGCAAGAUUGAAACUUAAAGGAAUUGGCGGGGGAG